rnacentral:rRNA from 1 species
GUAGCGGUGAAAUGCGUAGAGAUCUGGAGGAAUACCGGUGGCGAAGGCGGCCCCCUGGACGAAGACUGACGCUCAGGUGCGAAAGCGUGGGGAGCAAACAGGAUUAGAUACCCCUGGUAGUCCACGCCGUAAACGAUGUCGACUUGGAGGUUGUGCCCUUGAGGCGUGGCUUCCGGAGCUAACGCGUUAAGUCGACCGCCUGGGGAGUACGGCCGCAAGGUUAAAACUCAAAUGAAUUGACGGGGGCCCGCACAAGCGGUGGAGCAUGUGGUUUAAUUCGAUGCAACGCGAAGAACCUUACCUGGUCUUGACAUCCACGGAAGUUUUCAGAGAUGAGAAUGUGCCUUCGGGAACCGUGAGACAGGUGCUGCAUGGCUGUCGUCAGCUCGUGUUGUGAAAUGUUGGGUUAAGUCCCGCAACGAGCGCAACCCUUAUCCUUUGUUGCCAGCGGUCCGGCCGGGAACUCAAAGGAGACUGCCAGUGAUAAACUGGAGGAAGGUGGGGAUGACGUCAAGUCAUCAUGGCCCUUACGACCAGGGCUACACACGUGCUACAAUGGCGCAUACAAAGAGAAGCGACCUCGCGAGAGCAAGCGGACCUCAUAAAGUGCGUCGUAGUCCGGAUUGGAGUCUGCAACUCGACUCCAUGAAGUCGGAAUCGCUAGUAAUCGUGGAUCAGAAUGCCACGGUGAAUACGUUCC